GACAGCUGCUAUGAAGCAGGCGAUUGUAAUGAUAUGUCGUGUAAUCUAAUUGUGCUGUCAUGAACGUUUAAUAUUUUACAUACUAACUGAGGCCUAUAGAGUGUGAGUGAGUUUCUUUAAUCGUUGCACAGCCUGAUGGGAUAUUGUGGCAAUGUGUUAACAGACACCUAAAUGCUGCAGAUGAGAAAACUGGCAAAACUUGUGCUUUUAUAGAGGUGCUCACACAUGUCAAAGAUCAGUUAAGCAGUGCAUUUGAUUAACAGCUCCUGGCUGCUACUUAAGUCUUAUGAAAUUGGUCAGGUUGCACAUAGUUUUUCCACAGGAUUGCAUUUAUCUUUUUUUUUUUUUUUUUUAUAACAUCUUUUCUUUCUGUGUUUAUUUGUAAAAUGUAAAAACAUUUUCAACCCUCGUGUGAAAGAUCAAAAUGCGCUAUAUCCAUUUAACACCGGCUCAUUAUUUAGCUUUAUUACUUUACAUUUCUGCUCUAACACUGAACAACAAUGUACUGCACAAUGUAGUAUAGCAAUUUCACACUAUGCACUGUGUCCCUCGGCCUUUUUAGACAUGACCUUACCAAGGUGCAUGUUAGCAAAUGGAUUAGACAUUAAAAAGUCUUUAAACCAGCUGACUCUCUAGUCCAAAAACUGUGCAACAUCCAUUUUGCUCCAUUUUGCAUUGAUAAUAACACAGGUUAGUUCACUGCUGGUGAGUCGCCCUCCUAUGAGUGGUUGGUCUGAAACUGGAGCAUUUCCAGUAGCGAGAGUACAGCUGAUGUAAGCCGUCUUUAUCUCUGUGCUACAUGUGAUAAACAGCAACUUUUUUGCAAUUUAUAUGUUAAACCGCUUAUCUGCCGAUAACGUUCUGCCAGCGACGCCACACAGCAUCGCACAACAUGUCAGUUUUUCCUUCACAACUGUUUCCAUUCACAUAGGUACAAAUGUAAUGUCACAUAAUAUGAUUGUGUUACAUCUGUUGUAUAUUUAAAAAAAUGUUCUUCUUGG
ensembl:lncRNA